UCAUUGGUGGUUCAGUGGUAGAAUUCUCGCCUGCCACGCGGGAGACCCGGGUCCGAUUCCCGGCCAAUGCA
rfam:Danio rerio chromosome 4, GRCz11 reference primary assembly.